AUUGAACGCUGGCGGCAGGCCUAACACAUGCAAGUCGAACGAGUGGCGGACGGGUGAGUAAUGUCUGGGAAACUGCCUGAUGGAGGGGGAUAACUACUGGAAACGGUAGCUAAUACCGCAUACCAUCAGAUGUGCCCAGAUGGGAUUAGCUAGUAGGUGGGGUAACGGCUCACCUAGGCGACGAUCCCUAGCUGGUCUGAGAGGAUGACCAGCCACACUGGAACUGAGACACGGUCCAGACUCCUACGGGAGGCAGCAGUGGGGAAUAUUGCGCAAUGGGCGCAAGCCUGACGCAGCCACGCCGCGUGUAUGAAGAAGGCUUUCGGGUUGUAAAGUACUGUCAGCGGGGAGGCGUUACCCGCAGAAGAAGCACCGGCUAACUCCGUGCCAGCAGCCGCGGUAAUAC
rnacentral:rRNA from 1 species